CCGGCCCCUACUCGCACCCCGAACCGCCCCGCCUCCAUCCUGGCUGCUCCUGGCGCCCAGCUUGGCAGCCUCUCUCAAAGGCAGGGACAAGCUCCUGAGUGGGAUCUCAGGGCCAUGGCAGUGAGGAGGCCUGUGCUCCACCAGCUCUGAAGAUACCAGCUACGUGAUGGGCUGAGGGAAUCCACAGCCAUGAUUUUGCUGAUGAGGGCAGAAAGGCCCAAGGAGGAGUCCACCAUCAUGCAGUGCACGUGCUCACCCACCAUUGCCCAGGCAGGGACACAAGAAACUCACAGUGAGAGCACCAGGCACCACCAAGAAGCCCUAGGAACACUGACCCUGUCUCUACAGUGGGCUGUGUGUUCCCUGGGGGCUGACUGCUGGUGGAUGCCAGAGAGAUACACAAGACACUCAUGGAUAUGGAAGGUGACAAACUGGGUCAAACCAGCUCACGGGCAAGAGAGCACCCAGAGGAGGCUGAGGGAAGGUGUCUUCAAGAAGGUUGCCCUGGAGCAGAGGCCCGCAGAAGGGCCAGUGGUGUAUGGUGUUGGGAGAACAGAACCCAGACCAGCAGACAGCAUUGGCACAGCAAGGCUGGUGUGCGGCGAGAAGGAUGUUCUCUUCACAGUGCAGGACUCGUGUGCAGGACUGGGCUCAUGCACUGGUGUCUUCUAGGGAGAAGCUGUUCAAUAAAUAUGAUGGAUGUAGUUGUUUAAUUUCCUGCCUAACUCCCAUCCACAGCUGGGGUGAUGGGCAAACAUGGACUCCUCACACUGUCUUUCUGCAUUUGGAAGACAUAACCAGGGAGUUUGAAGACUUCCCUCACAGGUGCUUUGGUUUCAUUCUUCCAUUUCUUCAUUCAGUCAUCCCAAUUUCACUGAGCUUACUUUGGCUGAAAAUGCAGAAAUGAAAGACUAGCUCUUGCUUCCAGUCCAUGGCCCUCUCAAGAUGAGGCAUCUGUGUCUCAGUUUCAUUGUCUGCCUUUCCCCAUGAGCCUUCCCCUGGACUCUUCUGAGGGAAGGGAGACACAGGCAGAGGACAGGUUGUUGGGAAGUUUGUGGGGACCUGGGCUGGGGCUACUGCAGGUGCAAAACCUGGGAGAGAAGGAAGAGCAAGCAAUGCAAAGCUGCCUCCAAGUAUGUUUUUAUCACCUAAAAAUAGUCGGGGCUGUAAUGACUUUUGGGGGGAUGGGAGAGGAGGGAGAGAAGGCUAUAAGAGGUGCAGAG
rnacentral:lncRNA from 1 species